UACAGAGGUCUCAAGCGUUGUUCGGAUUCAUUGGGCGUAAAGGGCGCGUAGGCGGUUUGCAUAGUCAGACGUGAAAUUCCUGGGCUUAACCUGGGGGCUGCGUUUGAUACAUGCAGGCUUGAGUUCGGAAGAGGGUCGUGGAAUUCCCAGUGUAGAGGUGAAAUUCGUAGAUAUUGGGAAGAACACCGGUGGCGAAGGCGGCGACCUGGUCCGAUACUGACGCUGAGGCGCGAAAGCGUGGGGAGCAAACAGG
rnacentral:rRNA from 1 species